GGGGGACAACAGUUGGAAACGACUGCUAAUACCGCAUAAUGUCUACGGACCAAAGGGGGCUUCGGCUCUCGCCUUUAGAUUGGCCCAAGUGGGAUUAGCUAGUUGGUGAGGUAAUGGCUCACCAAGGCGACGAUCCCUAGCUGGUUUGAGAGGAUGAUCAGCCACACUGGGACUGAGACACGGCCCAGACUCCUACGGGAGGCAGCAGUGGGGAAUAUUGCACAAUGGGCGCAAGCCUGAUGCAGCCAUGCCGCGUGUGUGAAGAAGGCCUUCGGGUUGUAAAGCACUUUCAGUCAGGAGGAAAGGUUAGUAGUUAAUACCUGCUAGCUGUGACGUUACUGACAGAAGAAGCACCGGCUAACUCCGUGCCAGCAGCCGCGGUAAUACGGAGGGUGCGAGCGUUAAUCGGAAUUACUGGGCGUAAAGCGUACGCAGGCGGUUUGUUAAGCGAGAUGUGAAAGCCCCGGGCUCAACCUGGGAACUGCAUUUCGAACUGGCAAACUAGAGUGUGAUAGAGGGUGGU
rnacentral:rRNA from 1 species